AAGUAUAAAUCCAUCUUACUUUCAAUAGCUAAGUGACAUGAAAGCCAUAAAAGAAAAAGUGGUCAGCAAUAUUUAGCAGCAUGACUUGGCCUUAGGCUAAAAGAAUUUCGAUAUAAAAGCGGCCUGAAUUUACUGGCAGCUACAAAUAUGUGGUUUACUGCACCGGGAGAGGGGUUUUGAAUUGUUUUAUCAUUUAUCUCGCAGGGAACCCGAGCGGUUAUUUAAAUACAUCGCUUCCAGAUAAGGGUGAUCAAGGAAAACCUAUGCUACUAGGGGAGUGGUUCGUUCAUGCACUUUCACUGUUAUAGGCAGUAAUAAACCUUUCUCGUGUACUUCACAGUAGCCCUUGUCGCCCUAUUUUUAAUCUUUAUGUUGCCCUUACAGUUUGGAUACGACUUUUUACAAAUACAUGGGGUUUUAUUAUUAUUUUCCACGCAAAAACACAAUUCAAAGCCAUUCAAGGAGAUUCACCCGACGCAGUCACAUAUUUUGUUUGUCUACAACGUACUCGACAAAAUCAACGCAGGCUGACACAGGUUACAUGGAGGAAGCAGUACUUGUAGAUUAAGCUGGCACUAAUGAGGUGCUUAUAUUUCGAUAUUUAAUAACCAGUCCACCUCCUGCCCAUAAAUCAGUUUUAUCUGCGGUGAAUUGAACAGGUUUACAAAGCCGUCCCAGUAAAGAGUUUGGAGACUCUUCCCCAGUCGUCACUUGGGAGUUUUCUCUCAAGUGAGUCUGGUAGAAUCGGCCUGUUUGGAAUUUCCACCUCUCGGUUUUUUACUUUAAAAAUCCCAGAAAUUAGUGGUUGGUUUCUAAAAGGACGAUAAUAUUCACAAGCUCAUCAUGUGCCUAAGGAAUCAAGAUCCUUUUGCUAGUUAUUUAGGAGCUACUCCUUCUCAUGGAAACGACCAAAUUCUACCUGUUAAAACAUGAUGGAUUGGAAAAAACACCAGGAACCUGAAAAACCAGCGUUCAUCUCCAUGACCACGGCUUGAACUUUCCUUCCAACUUAACGAUAAUAGGCUCUGUCUUUGGAACUGCUAUGUAAUUUGAUGUAUGAGGGUCAUUUGGCUGGAGAGAGAGGAUGGACAUACAAACCAUAAAAUGCUCCUACAGCUCGUGCGAAUCUUUUUUUGUUAACUCAUGCUGUUUACCUGCCUGAGAAUAACCAGCUAAAGACGAGUCCCUAGUAAUGGGAAAGGAGAUCUGGAUGUUAUCUCAAAUCUAGGAACUCUUACACACUUUAUUCUCAGAAAUUAAAAUCUUGUUUUCCACCCCCACCUCCAACCACCUUCCUAUUGCUGACAAACAGCUUCAUCAGGUCAAAAAUAGUUCCUCUGAGUGCUCUACUGUCUUCUGCUUUUUAAUUUUUUUCCAGGGCACCUAACCCACAUGAGUCUUUGGGGAGAAAGUGUUACACAAUAUACACCAAUAAUUAUACAAAUAUAAUAUAGAUUAGAUUAUAUAUAUAUUGCAAGUUGCUUAGAAAGUAAAGUCCCUUUGUUUUAUUACAGACUAGUUAUUGAAUAAAUCUCCAAUUAGGCGAUUACCAUUUGAAUAUUUAUUAAUUAAGACCAUGGGAUAUUAUUGAACUAAUAAUCUGAUCAAGAUCUGCAACACAUAUACUGUAGAGCAUUUACAUAUAAACCUAUUAACAUCCAGUUCCUCAAUUACAGAGCCCAACCCCUGUCCCUAGUUACUUUGCCUGAUCCGUAGGCCUGAGAGUGUUUUUCAUUUAGUUCCCUUGAAACACACUUAGAGACAUGAGACUCACAAUCUCAGGAAAACAACAUAUAAAUGAACAUAUAGUGGUCUUAAUUAACCCCCGUGUCAUGGUCGCCCAUUUAGAAUGCUUCACGUUAUAUUUCACAUUUUAAAGUUUGCUACAGUGACUAACACGUUCAGGCCAGUACGACUGAGUAGAAAGUCUGGUGGAAAAUAUUUCCAGAGCUCCGCAUGGAGCUAACCCCCGCGAUCCCUCCACCCCCAAAAAAGCAACUUGAUUUUGAGAGAGAAAUAGUAUAGGUGAUGGUGAAUCUACUCGCAGACGGAGGAACGCAGGUUUGGGUUUCCAAGGUUAAGCAGCUUCUGCAAAGUUAUAGAGGACUGGGAAGCUGGGGGGACACAUCAUGGCCAUUUCUCUUCUUUAAAAAGUGCCAUGGAAUUCCCAAAAGAAGGGGAGGACAAAAGUUGCCCACUAAAACUGGUGCCUGGUCUGGCCGAAGCUUUUCUCUUGUGCACACCACAGACAAAGGGCCUGACUCUUUCCUCAGAUUUACCCGGGCGACCCCUCUGGCUUCACUGGGGUCGCAUGGGGGUAAGGGAGAGCAAAACUGGGCCCCGAAAUCUUGGAGUGGCCCUUUUGCCGACAAGAUCGACAUUUGCGCAUUAAACAAGCCUCCCCUCUCCCCCUUCCCAAGCUCUCUGAAAGAUAAAGAAGACACAGAAGAAAGUUGUCUUAAUAGGGCAGGUCCCUUGCUUGUUCCCUAUUUCCCCCUCCCUGAUACAGCUGAUAAACCCCCUUCCUUCCAGCCUCCCUCAACCCCCGAACUCUGAUCCAGGAGAGAGAAGCAGGCAGCUUUCCUGCAAGCUCCAGCAAAGUUGAGGGAAGAGGGAGAGCCGCCUGCACUGGAAGUGUAAGGGUAUCAGUCACUGCCUGGGAGGAAGCUCCCGCUUGUGAACUCUUCUUGAACCGAGAUUUAAGUCUAUGGUCAUAAAUCACUGGGACAUAAACUCCGCCAUUCACAACUGAUAGCAGCGUGUUUGUGGCCUGCUUACCUUAACUUCUGACGACUGAGGCGGAAGCCAGCCCCGCUCUUUGGAGGCUCGGCGAGGCACAAGCCAGGGAGCAGGACUUUUCCCCCAGCCAAGUCCCUUCGGCUCCGGGAUGGGCACCGGCUCAAGUCAUCUGCACCGGCCAAGACUGGAGGCGCGCGCACUGCUCAGGACUCGCCAGGGAUUGCUGGUUCGGCUCGGACCCCUGCCCUCCCCCUGCUCGGCCCCUAGGGCAGCACGCGGGGCCCCCCGAUAAGAGCCAUCAAGUCUCAGGGCUUCCCUCAUGUAAUGCCACCGAAAAUGGCUAAAAUAGCAAGAUGCGAUCAAAGGAACGGCUAGAGCCCCCUCCCAGAGCAAAGAGGAGAAACUGGGAGCUGGUUACUUAUAGACAUCUUCUAAAACCUCCGGCCUCAGGAUUUGGUGGCGAUUUGGGGAGCUCUCCGGGUUACCUCGGGAAUGUGUGAUGUUUUACUAUUUGCGCGUUUAAAGUUUGGAGGGAAAUGUGUUUUCUGUGUGGCAAGGGGGAGGAACAAGGGGAAGAGUCUUUGUUCUAAAUGGUGGGACUUGUCAAGGUAUUUUAAUUCAAGAAAUGAAAUGGUGCAGUGAGCUACUACGGUAUAUUUUUCCUUGAUACAUGUUAAUUGCCUAAGAAAAGAAAGUUACUUUGCAAUAACUCUAGACAGGUCCUGUCUUUCUCGCUACCCAGCUAUGUAAUUUUAAGAGGCGCAGGUGAUUUUUCUUUGUAGGACUAGCUUUGAAUGUAGCGUUAACAUGGAAAAAUGCGCAUAUUUGCACUUCAUGUUAUAGAAAAGGAAAUGCACUAACAGAGGACCGAAAUUCCCCUCUUCCCACAUGCCAGUGGCAGAGCGAGGGUUUAAUUUGAGGGAAGAAUUUAUUCUACAUGUUGGUUACAUAUCUGAGGUUUGAAAUUUAAUUUAUUUCCGGAGAGUUACAUUGUAUCGGAGUUCUUUCCACUCAGGGAAAUAUUGUCAGUCUCGGUGUAAAAUAGCUCAAGAUAAAUUUCUCUUGGACCCAUUCUGGCAGAAAUGCCUAAGAUCAUACAGCGAUGUAUAAUUUCGGGAUAAUUUAAGGGGAAAUAACGGGUGGGAAGAAUAUUCUACUUUCUUGUCAUGGGGAAAGGAGCGAAUUGAACAAAUUACUGAUAAACUAUACAUCCAAAUAAUUCCACGGAUAAGCAAGGACGCGAGGUGCCUUAGAAAUGGAGAGCAUUAUCAAAUCUUGCAAACAAGCCUGUUUAAUCGGCAUUACUGUUUGUAUUAUCGAACACCAUAAAAUCGCAAUUGACACUUCAUUUUGUAUUUACUCAACACGCGGAGUAUUUACACAAGCAGAAAGGCGUUCGAAAUAUCCCUCUGCACCACUGUUCUUGGUCUCCCACGUUUUAUACUAAGGCUUUUUAUUAUUAUUAUUUAUGAGGGUUUUAACUGGGCCAAAAAUGCACCGGGGCUGGGUCGUAAAUCCUCAGAAACGAUGACAAACAGUAGGGCUGCAAUUAAAGGUUGCCUUUGAUUUUCACAGCACGUUUUGGCCCAUUUAAAACAUGGGUUAGCCUGCUCUAGCUUUAAACACACUGCUGGGAGUGAAAUAGCCCUGCUUUAAUUGCAUAAGAAAAAACACUAUGUCUAAUAACGAGAACCAUGCUUCAUUGGGGCGGGGGAUUGGCAUUUAUUUGAGUCAGUUCUUAUUUGGAGUGUAUCUGUUGGCAGAAAACCCCAAAUUCUGCGUUUCCGCUUUCUGGGACCGUGCAGAGUGGCCGCCAGUCGUUCUAAAUUGAACUCUGCUUUUGUGUUUCAGUAAAGAACGUUUUGUUUCUAACAGUCCGAUUUUUUUUCCAUGACCCGCUCAUAAAUUGAGUAAUUACAACUGCCCAGUAAUUUGGGACAAAAUGACACAGCCGCAUCGAGGCGAGCGAGGCUGCCCCAACUCACUGGCAACAUAAAUCAAACCUCAGCACUCUGACCUUUCCCAAAGCUGGAACUCACUGGUGGAUGUAAUUUUAUAUAAUAUUUGUCCCCUGUAUAGCACAAGGAAUCCCUUCAUUUGGGGGUUAUAUGAGGUGCAUUUCCCUCCACACAAUAUAUGUAGUUAUAGCGCAGGUUAGAACAUAGUGGUAAGGGUAGGAAAUUUAGAGAUCAUGGAAAUCCUUACAGAAAGCAGAUUGUCCCCUUCCCCCUCGCUUUCCAGAUUCCCUAUUCAGAGUAAAACAAAUUUCCGGAGGCUGAUUUAUUGUUAGAAGCUCUGGAUGGACAUUUGUUCAGAGCCAGAUAAUUCUUAGAUAAAUCCAAGUUUGGUUUCACUAAGGAAAGAAAGGCAAUCCCUUUUCAAGUGGAAUUGUUCACCUCGACACGGUAGAGAGCUAUCCCAGCCCUGCUGGCAUGAUAAACAAAGUACCACUAAGCAUCAUAAAUAAAAUGGCAGCACAAUUGCAUACUCAUCGAUUUUCGGUGCCGGGCUCGGCAACACAAGCACCCAGAAAGGAAAACAAAACAGCCAUAACAUCAGCCACAAAUCGCACCCCGAUUCCAUACCAGGGGUGCUUCUCAAUCUCCUGAAAUACUCGUGAAUUCAUAGACAUGUGUAUAACUGCAGAAAAAGAUCUCCCCCAGUCCCAAUUUGAUCAUAAAGGACAACAAUAAUGUAGCUUUAAAAGAGAUUUAACAGAGGGAGAUCCCCAUAAAAGAAACACAGAAUCUCGGGGGGGGGGGGGGGGGGAAGAAACUCUCUGGUUUCUUUGCUGCGAAGAGAUACUUGAAUAUUUGCCGCAGCAAAUUGAAACAAAGGGGGAAACGGAGCUUGAUUUGAAUCCACGCACACCCGUAAGCCUUUUCUCCUGACCUUUGCCUCGACCAGCAAUAACUCACCACAUAAAUGAACAAUCAACGGAAAUACCUUAAAAUAAAAUCCAUCCUUUUUAACGAAGCAUUUCGUCCUAUCAGCUCGACAAUAACCUUUCCAUAAGGAACGAAAGCUGGAACCGAAAUGGAAAGCUCUUGCAGGGGAGAGGGAGGGAAAAAAUAAUAGAAAGCAGUUCUUGCUCUGAACAGAAACUGGAAAAGCGUAAUCACAGACGAAGCCAGCCCGGGUCUCCACUCCAAAUGCCACAAUAAUGCGCUGUAUUAUGUGCUCACGUGGUCAUACGUCAACUUAAAUCCUUUUAUUUGAAAUAGGGAAUCAUUGAAGGAACAAGGUUUCUAAGCGCAUUCCUCUGAUUUUGAACGCCUUAACCAAAUACAGUAAGAAGAAUUUAAAGACAAAAUCAGGAACCGGAGACGAUUAUUCUGUUCCCCACACUUAAUAUUUCUUUACACAAAAUCACAUGCAAGGAUGUGCGUUAGAAGAACGGGGAGACUUUUCUAACUUUACCGGGUCCUGGGCCGCAGCUGAAAAUAAUUCCCUUUCGCCGGUUCUGGAAUUCAUUUUCUUUGCUCAAGAAUCAAGAUUAUGCGUUUUCAAACACAAAUUCAAAUGGACUUGGAAGUAGCAGAGGUUUGAUUUGCCUUGCCACCAACAUAUUGCUUUGGUCCUGGAGACUCAACAUUGUUUUAUUACCUCAACGAUGUGGAGCCCUGAAAAGUUUAAGAGCUGAAAACCUUAAGUUUCUCCGAAGAUUUACUAUUGAUUUCUUUAUGCUUUGUGCACAUGGCUUUGCGUUGAGAUUCCAACCAGCAAUAUCAACAUACAGCUGAGUUUUAAAAUGUGUGCAAAUAGAGUCUGUUUGUGAUCGAUCUGAAUGCAAAUAUUAGUAUUAAGAGACGUUUAAAGUGGCUACAUACAUACAUUUUGUAAUAUUCUUGCUCUAUGGCUACCUUUAAUUGAUAUGCUUAUGUCACUAGUUAAAAGGUAAGACCAUUCCCUUAUGCGAAUGAAGAAAUGGAAAUGCUAUUUGAUAGAGUUUGGGGGUUUUUUUAAUUUCCUUUCUCGCCCAGUUGAAAUUCAUAGGGCAAAAGUUGUAUAUCUAUAAACAUGUGUUUGUUACUGAUAAAGUUAUUUCAACUGAAUUUUGACAAUUUCUUUGCAGGUUAAAAGAAAGAUUUUUUUAUAAAACCAUAGACCUUAUUUAAAUUUCUAUUUAAAGAAAUUUUACUGAGAUGGAGUGGUAUAUGGUUAAUUUACCAAUCAGAAGAUUUUUGGACAAAUGUAUGUAUGUGGGGCAUGCGGGAUAAAAUGAUUGUUCUGUUAAAUAAUAGUUCUUUUGCUUUUCCUCAAAUGGGAAUGAAUACAUAUUUUCAGUGUCUCUUUGUAGAAAAGAUUUCAAAGGCUAUUAAAUCAACAAAACAGCCUUUGUAGCCCUAUAAUUUAUAGCGGCAUUUAAAAGGUAGUAAACUACACUAAUUAUGUAUCGACAUAAAAAUAAGCAGGUAAAUCUGGCAAAAACUUGAAAUAGUUCUAUAUAAUCCUCUCUACGACCGGCACCAUAAAAUUGUCAGCAUGAAGAGCACUCCGUUUCUUUGUUAAAAACCAUCGAAUCACGACAGAAAACAUGCACACAAUGCAGAGAAGUCCAAAAAUAAACAAAAUACAUGAAACCUACGCUCCUGUGGUGUAUUUUCUGAAGCAAAUCCCAGACUUUCUAAAUCCAGAACAUUGAUUCCUAUGUUCCUAAUUCCAAAUCACACAGCAGUCAUUGUAAAACUACUCAAGGGAACCAACCGAAAAAAAAAAUCCUACGAAAGCAACCGAACACUAAAAUUGCUCCAACUACCUGUCUCUUGCUAUGAGACUUCGGUUUGGGAAGGAACUAAGAAUAGACAAACACAUUACCAACCUCUUUCGCUCUUUAAAUUACUUUGCAUCUUUCCUGUUUCGAAUGCCUCUAGGAGGACCGCUAUUGCUUCGUUUCUAUAUAUUUCUUUGUCUGUAGAGACACUCGCCUUUACCAGCCAUAGAAGAUGAAUGGCUUCAAUCCGGAAAAUUCCAACUAGGUUAAAUAUUUAUCACAAUAAAAUCUCAUUGUAGCAGCAUUUCUCCCCCAAUAUGCAAGCACUAGGAAACAUGAACUCUGCACAAAACUAUCCCACUACAGCUUUUAUGUGCCUAAAUUCUUACCUCC